AUUAAUAACUCCAUUGAAUUUUAUUAAUCUCUUUUGUGGUGGCACAAAAUCGGAAGCCCCGACUGUUUACUAAAAACACAGCUAUCUGCAACGAUGUAAAUCAUAGUAUAGGUAGUGAGGUUUGCCCGAUGCCAUUAAUAUAAGAGAAGUGAUGGGUAACUGUUAAUUAUCGAAAAUCUGGUUAAUAGCGGUCUUAACUAUGAGGAUCCUAAGGUAGCAAAAUAAAUUGGCCAUUAAAUGUGGUCCGGUAUCAAUAAUUUAACGAUGGCUUCACUGUCUCUACAACUUGCUCAGUGAAAUUGAAUUACCCGUGCAGAUGCGGGUUGCCACCAGGG
rnacentral:rRNA from 1 species